rnacentral:misc_RNA from 1 species
ACCUCUGCAAUUUGUGUAAUGUUACACCCAGUAAUGCUCCAAAGGGUGUCCAAGCACAAAAAGUACUUUAUCCAGAUAAAGAUGUAUUCCUGCUUAAAAUUGGGAAACAAACUGAUGAACCGAACCGCACAGGAAACAUUGAGGUAGAGCUAGUUACUCCUCGGGCACCAGCUAAACCACAGCCAGCGACUCAUUCUUGCAAACAAAUACAGUGCGAAGAAAAUGAAAUACCUUGUUGCCUACCAUGCAGAACGUGUCGUCGUGUCUAUCCUAAAAAAAGAAAGACUAAAAGGCCUAAUUGUUGUUUGUAAUUAAAAUCACCUGUCAAAUAGAAAAAAAAAUAAUGUUUGUAAUUUUUUAUACAUUAAUGAAAAUUGUAAUGUUACUACGUAAUUAUUUUUCUUGUCGAAAUCGUUCUAUAGAAUUCUAUUUUUCUAAGUACAUAUCAAAGAAAGUUCCUAACUGCUAACGUAGAUAAUAUGCAUUGGUCAUAGGCGUAAUAAAUCAUUUUCUGGUUUACAAUUUUUAUUUGUUGCUUACACUUAUCGCGUAAUCAAAGUAAUAAAACUGUAUAUUAACCGAGGAAA